UACGUAGGGUGCAAGCGUUAUCCGGAAUUAUUGGGCGUAAAGCGCGCGCAGGCGGUUUCUUAAGUCUGAUGUGAAAGCCCACGGCUCAACCGUGGAGGGUCAUUGGAAACUGGGGAACUUGAGUGCAGAAGAGAAAAGCGGAAUUCCACGUGUAGCGGUGAAAUGCGUAGAGAUGUGGAGGAACACCAGUGGCGAAGGCGGCCCGCUGGGCAGUGGCUGACGCUGAGGCGCGACAGCGUGGGGAGCAAACAGG
rnacentral:rRNA from 1 species